rnacentral:rRNA from 1 species
UAAGCGACUAAGCGUACACGGUGGAUGCCCUGGCAGUCAGAGGCGAUGAAGGACGUGCUAAUCUGCGAUAAGCGUCGGUAAGGUGAUAUGAACCGUUAUAACCGGCGAUUUCCGAAUGGGGAAACCCAGUGUGAUUCGUCACACUAUCAUUAACUGAAUCCAUAGGUUAAUGAGGCGAACCGGGGGAACUGAAACAUCUAAGUACCCCGAGGAAAAGAAAUCAACCGAGAUUCCCCCAGUAGCGGCGAGCGAACGGGGAGCAGCCCAGAGUCUGAAUCAGUGUGUGUGUUAGUGGAAGCGUCUGGAAAGGCGCGCGAUACAGGGUGACAGCCCCGUACACAAAAAUGCACAUGCUGUGAGCUCGAUGAGUAGGGCGGGACACGUGGUAUCCUGUCUGAAUAUGGGGGGACCAUCCUCCAAGGCUAAAUACUCCUGACUGACCGAUAGUGAACCAGUACCGUGAGGGAAAGGCGAAAAGAACCCCGGCGAGGGGAGUGAAAAAGAACCUGAAACCGUGUACGUACAAGCAGUGGGAGCCUCUUUUAUGGGGUGACUGCGUACCUUUUGUAUAAUGGGUCAGCGACUUAUAUUCUGUAGCAAGGUUAACCGAAUAGGGGAGCCGAAGGGAAACCGAGUCUUAACUGGGCGUUAAGUUGCAGGGUAUAGACCCGAAACCCGGUGAUCUAGCCAUGGGCAGGUUGAAGGUUGGGUAACACUAACUGGAGGACCGAACCGACUAAUGUUGAAAAAUUAGCGGAUGACUUGUGGCUGGGGGUGAAAGGCCAAUCAAACCGGGAGAUAGCUGGUUCUCCCCGAAAGCUAUUUAGGUAGCGCCUCGUGAAUUCAUCUCCGGGGGUAGAGCACUGUUUCGGCAAGGGGGUCAUCCCGACUUACCAACCCGAUGCAAACUGCGAAUACCGGAGAAUGUUAUCACGGGAGACACACGGCGGGUGCUAACGUCCGUCGUGAAGAGGGAAACAACCCAGACCGCCAGCUAAGGUCCCAAAGUCAUGGUUAAGUGGGAAACGAUGUGGGAAGGCCCAGACAGCCAGGAUGUUGGCUUAGAAGCAGCCAUCAUUUAAAGAAAGCGUAAUAGCUCACUGGUCGAGUCGGCCUGCGCGGAAGAUGUAACGGGGCUAAACCAUGCACCGAAGCUGCGGCAGCGACGCUUAUGCGUUGUUGGGUAGGGGAGCGUUCUGUAAGCCUGUGAAGGUGUGCUGUGAGGCAUGCUGGAGGUAUCAGAAGUGCGAAUGCUGACAUAAGUAACGAUAAAGCGGGUGAAAAGCCCGCUCGCCGGAAGACCAAGGGUUCCUGUCCAACGUUAAUCGGGGCAGGGUGAGUCGACCCCUAAGGCGAGGCCGAAAGGCGUAGUCGAUGGGAAACAGGUUAAUAUUCCUGUACUUGGUGUUACUGCGAAGGGGGGACGGAGAAGGCUAUGUUGGCCGGGCGACGGUUGUCCCGGUUUAAGCGUGUAGGCUGGUUUUCCAGGCAAAUCCGGAAAAUCAAGGCUGAGGCGUGAUGACGAGGCACUACGGUGCUGAAGCAACAAAUGCCCUGCUUCCAGGAAAAGCCUCUAAGCAUCAGGUAACAUCAAAUCGUACCCCAAACCGACACAGGUGGUCAGGUAGAGAAUACCAAGGCGCUUGAGAGAACUCGGGUGAAGGAACUAGGCAAAAUGGUGCCGUAACUUCGGGAGAAGGCACGCUGAUAUGUAGGUGAAGCGACUUGCUCGUGGAGCUGAAAUCAGUCGAAGAUACCAGCUGGCUGCAACUGUUUAUUAAAAACACAGCACUGUGCAAACACGAAAGUGGACGUAUACGGUGUGACGCCUGCCCGGUGCCGGAAGGUUAAUUGAUGGGGUCAGCGCAAGCGAAGCUCUUGAUCGAAGCCCCGGUAAACGGCGGCCGUAACUAUAACGGUCCUAAGGUAGCGAAAUUCCUUGUCGGGUAAGUUCCGACCUGCACGAAUGGCGUAAUGAUGGCCAGGCUGUCUCCACCCGAGACUCAGUGAAAUUGAACUCGCUGUGAAGAUGCAGUGUACCCGCGGCAAGACGGAAAGACCCCGUGAACCUUUACUAUAGCUUGACACUGAACAUUGAGCCUUGAUGUGUAGGAUAGGUGGGAGGCUUUGAAGUGUGGACGCCAGUCUGCAUGGAGCCGACCUUGAAAUACCACCCUUUAAUGUUUGAUGUUCUAACGUUGACCCCUAAUCGGGGUUGCGGACAGUGUCUGGUGGGUAGUUUGACUGGGGCGGUCUCCUCCUAAAGAGUAACGGAGGAGCACGAAGGUUGGCUAAUCCUGGUCGGACAUCAGGAGGUUAGUGCAAUGGCAUAAGCCAGCUUGACUGCGAGCGUGACGGCGCGAGCAGGUGCGAAAGCAGGUCAUAGUGAUCCGGUGGUUCUGAAUGGAAGGGCCAUCGCUCAACGGAUAAAAGGUACUCCGGGGAUAACAGGCUGAUACCGCCCAAGAGUUCAUAUCGACGGCGGUGUUUGGCACCUCGAUGUCGGCUCAUCACAUCCUGGGGCUGAAGUAGGUCCCAAGGGUAUGGCUGUUCGCCAUUUAAAGUGGUACGCGAGCUGGGUUUAGAACGUCGUGAGACAGUUCGGUCCCUAUCUGCCGUGGGCGCUGGAGAACUGAGGGGGGCUGCUCCUAGUACGAGAGGACCGGAGUGGACGCAUCACUGGUGUUCGGGUUGUCAUGCCAAUGGCACUGCCCGGUAGCUAAAUGCGGAAGAGAUAAGUGCUGAAAGCAUCUAAGCACGAAACUUGCCCCGAGAUGAGUUCUCCCUGACCCUUUAAGGGUCCUGAAGGAACGUUGAAGACGACGACGUUGAUAGGCCGGGUGUGUAAGCGCAGCGAUGCGUUGAGCUAACCGGUACUAAUGAACCGUGAGGCUUAACCU